rnacentral:sRNA from 1 species
GCCGCGCCUAGGCUGAUCCCCGAAAGCCGGGCACCUUCCCCGGUUGGCGCGGCACCCCUUGGAGGG